rnacentral:piRNA from 1 species
UUCUCACUGCGUGUCGCCUCCUGACCAGAGA